rnacentral:rRNA from 1 species
CACAUGCAAGUCGGACGAGAAAGUGGAGCAAUCCAUGAGUAAAGUGGCGUACGGGUGAGUAACACGUGGGUAAUCUACCUUUUGGUGGGGAAUAACCCUGGGAAACCGGGGCUAAUACCGCAUAAGCUCGAAAGAGGAAAGGAGCAAUUCGCCGAAAGAGGAGCCCGCGGCUGAUUAGCUAGUUGGUGAGGUAAAGGCUCACCAAGGCGAUGAUCGGUAGCCGGCCUGAGAGGGCACACGGCCACACUGGCACUGAAACACGGGCCAGACUCCUACGGGAGGCAGCAGUGGGGAAUCUUGCACAAUGGGGGAAACCCUGAUGCAGCGACGCCGCGUGAGUGAUGAAGCCCUUCGGGGUGUAAAGCUCUUUCGGCAGGGACGAUAAUGACGGUACCUGAAGAAGAAGCUGCGGCUAACUACGUGCCAGCAGCCGCGGUAAUACGUAGGCAGCGAGCGUUGUUCGGAGUUACUGGGCGUAAAGAGUGCGUAGGCGGUUUUCUAAGUUUGGUGUGAAAUCUCCCGGCUUAACUGGGAGGGUGCGCCGAAGACUGGAAGGCUAGAGUAUGGGAGAGGUAAGCGGAAUUCCUGGUGUAGCGGUGAAAUGCGUAGAUAUCAGGAGGAACACCUGCGGUGUAGACGGCUUACUGGACCAUAACUGACGCUGAGGCACGAAAGCGUGGGUAGCAAACAGGAUUAGAUACCCUGGUAGUCCACGCCCUAAACGAUGCAUACUUGGUGUGGGUAGUUCAUUCUAUCCGUGCCGGAGCUAACGCGUUAAGUAUGCCGCCUGGGGAGUACGG